rnacentral:rRNA from 1 species
GACAGAGGUGCCAAGCGUUAGGCGGAAUCACUGGGCUUAAAGCGUGUGUAGGCGGAAUGGUAAGUACCUUGUGAAAUCCCACGGCUCAACCGUGGAACUGCUGGGUAUACUGCCCUUCUUGAGCCACUUAGGGGCUGUCGGAACAAACGGUGGAGCGGUGAAAUGCGUAGAUAUCAGGAAGAACACCCGUGGCGCAAGCGACCACCUGGCCGAGACCUGACGCUGAGGCACGAGAGCGUGGGGAGCGAACGGG